rnacentral:tRNA from 1 species
CGGGUGUAGCUCAGGGGUUAGAGCGUCUGACUGUGGCUCAGAAGGCCGUGGGUUCGAGACCCAUCAUCC